UUUACCUGCUACAGUCAUUAUCUUCACAGGCGAAAGAGCUUUACGACCCUAAGGCCUUCUUCACUCACGCGGCAUGGCUAGAUCAGGCUUGCGCCCAUUGUCUAAGAUUCCCCACUGCUGCCUCCCGUAGGAGUA
rnacentral:rRNA from 1 species